GAUGAACGCUGGCGGCGUGCCUAAUACAUGCAAGUCGAGCGAACAGACGAGGAGCCUGCUCCUCUGACGUUAGCGGCGGACGGGUGAGUAACACGUGGAUAACCUACCUAUAAGACUGGGAUAACUUCGGGAAGCCGGAGCUAAUACCGGAUAAUAUAUUGAACCGCAUGGUUCAAUAGUGAAAGACGGUUUUGCUGUCACUUAUAGAUGGAUCCGCGCCGCAUUAGCUAGUUGGUAAGGUAACGGCUUACCAAGGCGACGAUGCGUAGCCGACCUGAGAGGGUGAUCGGCCACACUGGAACUGAGACACGGUCCAGACUCCUACGGGAGGCAGCAGUAGGGAAUCUUCCGCAAUGGGCGAAAGCCUGACGGAGCAACGCCGCGUGAGUGAUGAAGGUCUUCGGAUCGUAAAACUCUGUUAUUAGGGAAGAACAAAUGUGUAAGUAACUAUGCACGUCUUGACGGUACCUAAUCAGAAAGCCACGGCUAACUACGUG
rnacentral:rRNA from 1 species